rnacentral:rRNA from 1 species
UGCAAGUCGAACGGUGAAGGUCAGCUUGCUGACCGGAUCAGUGGCGAACGGGUGAGUAACACGUGAGCAACCUACCCUUCACUCUGGGAUAAGCCUUGGAAACGAGGUCUAAUACUGGAUACGAGACGCACGGGCAUCUGUAGCGUCUGGAAAGAUUUAUCGGUGGGGGAUGGGCUCGCGGCCUAUCAGCUUGUUGGUGGGGUAAUGGCCUACCAAGGCGACGACGGGUAGCCGGCCUGAGAGGGCGACCGGCCACACUGGGACUGAGACACGGCCCAGACUCCUACGGGAGGCAGCAGUGGGGAAUAUUGCACAAUGGGCGAAAGCCUGAUGCAGCGACGCCGCGUGCGGGAUGACGGCCUUCGGGUUGUAAACCGCUUUCAGCAGGGAAGAAGCGAAAGUGACGGUACCUGCAGAAGAAGCGCCGGCUAACUACGUGCCAGCAGCCGCGGUAAUACGUAGGGCGCAAGCGUUGUCCGGAAUUAUUGGGCGUAAAGAGCUCGUAGGCGGUUUGUCGCGUCUGCUGUGAAAACCUCAGGCUCAACCUGGGGCUUGCAGUGGGUACGGGCAGACUAGAGUGCGGUAGGGGUGACUGGAAUUCCUGGUGUAGCGGUGGAAUGCGCAGAUAUCAGGAGGAACACCGAUGGCGAAGGCAGGUCACUGGGCCGCAACUGACGCUGAGGAGCGAAAGCAUGGGGAGCGAACAGGAUUAGAUACCCUGGUAGUCCAUGCCGUAAACGUUGGGCACUAGGUGUGGGGUCCAUUCCA